CAAGGAGAUCAGAGAGACCACAGGUGCCCAGGUGCAGGUGGCAGGAGACCUGCUCCCCAACUCCACAGAGAGAGAAGUGACGAUAUCAGGGAGUCAGGACGCCAUCAUCCAGUGUGUGAAACUCAUCUGCACUGUGAUCCUGGAGUCUCCGCCAAAGGGAGCCACUAUUCCAUAUCGA